UUGCUAUCUGCGAUAUGGAAGAUUCGAACCUGCCGCAGGUUCGGGUCUCAUGGCAGUGAGACAACGGAGCCGUUUACGGCGACGGCCCGAAGGGCGAGCGAAGCGAGUCAUCCUGCACGACCCACCA
rnacentral:sRNA from 1 species